rnacentral:rRNA from 1 species
GUAGGUGGCAAGCGUUGUCCGGAAUUAUUGGGCGUAAAGCGCGCGCAGGCGGUUCUUUAAGUCUGAUGUGAAAGCCCACGGCUCAGCCGUGGAGGGUCAUUGGAAACUGGAGAACUUGAGUACAGAAGAGGAAAGCGGAAUUCCACGUGUAGCGGUGAAAUGCGUAGAGAUGUGGAGGAACACCAGUGGCGAAGGCGGCUUUCUGGUCUGUAACUGACGCUGAGGCGCGAAAGCUGGGGGAGCAAACAGGAUUAGAUACCCUGGUAGUCCAGCCGUAAACGAUGAGUGCUAAGUGUUAGGGGGUUUCCGCCCCUUAGUGCUGCAGCUAACGCAUUAAGCACUCCGCCUGGGAGUACGGCCGCAAGGCUGA